UACGUAGGUGGCGAGCGUUGUCCGGAUUUACUGGGCGUAAAGAGCGCGCAGGCGGCUGGUCAAGUCCGAUGUGAAAGCUCCCGGCUUAACUGGGAAAUUGCAUCGGAAACUGAUCGGCUGGAAGGUGGGAGAGGGUAGCGGAAUUCCCGGUGUAGUGGUGAAAUGCGUAGAUAUCGAUAGGAACUCCGGUGGCGAAGGCGGCAUACUGGUCCACUCCUGACGCUGAGGCGCGAAAGCCAGGGGAGCAAACGGG
rnacentral:rRNA from 1 species